AAUGAUUCCUCACUCUUAUUAUAACUCUCUCAAUCUUGGCUACUAUAGAUGUCAAUUCCCCAUGAGAGGUGGGACAUUGUGAUAGAAGAUGACCUCUACUAAGACAUUUGAAACACUUGAUAUCACUAGUAUAAGUGUGUGACGAUGACCCUUCCCUUCGAUUCUCUUUCUCUUUCCUAGAUUCCUUUAGGGGGUUCAUGUGUUCUUUAACUUGUUCCUUCUUAUAGUCUUUCUUCUCAUAAGAGUUAGAGUGUUUGAUUUAAAUUNUUUUAUCAAAAGUUGUUGUUAUACUUUUGUAGAAAUUUGUACCUACUCAUUUAGAUCUUGGUAAGACAAUAAUUUUGCUCUAUCUCUUAUUUCAAGACUUAAACCAAUAAGGAACCUAUAAAUGGUGGUGUACUCAUGCUCCCUAAUCUCAACCUUCAUCAUAUAUAACUCCAUCUUUUGUCUAUAUUCUUCUACUUUCAUGUCUUUUUGAUGGAGUCUUUGGAGCUUAUCCAUAAGCUCUCUAUGAUAGUAGGAGGAAAUGUGUCUCCUCCUAAGGGCCUUAUUAAGGUCAUUCCAAUAUUUGACUUGAGGGGCAUUGUUGAUUCACCUCUCCCUUUCUAGGGAUGUCCACUAAUUAAUACAUUACAUUGCCUUUAAAAUUUAGGGUAGUUAGGGGUACCUUCCUCUCCUCACUUAUUUGGUUGCAAGCAAAAAGUUAUUCUACCUUUAUUUCCCAAUCUAGGUAUAUUUCAACAUCUUUCUUUCCAUGAAAGUGGGGGAGGUCCACUCUAGUGUAUCUUGAUUCCCUAUGGACAUGUUCCUUUCUAUUUCUUCUUGGUGGUAGAGGAGGAGAUUGAUAAAAUUAUCCACUAAUCUACUAUCCUCCUCGUAAUGUGUGACAAAUGUGAGAGUCUUGGAGCUCCUAGAAUGGCUCAUACUCUUUCUUUUUUCUUGUAGUUUCUCUUCUUUUUGUUCGAUGAUUCUAAGCUCCCCCGCAAGGAUGGCAAGAUGGGUCUCUCUUUCAAUUUUCCCUUUUUCUUUUAAAAUGACCUCUUACGUCCUCCAAAGUUUUNGUGACUUAAGCUCUUGAGCAAUUUGUUUCCAACUUUUUUCUUCCUCAUUAUAGUCAUUAUACCAAUUUGGGAUGAAGGAUCCUCAGACAUCCUUAUGUUUCUCUUUUAUUUUCUAAGAUUUAAACAUUUUGGUCUUUUAAAGAAAUUCUGAAGAAGUAGAUAACAAGCUUCUUAAGUUCUCUUUUAGGAAACAUAGAUAAAUCACUUGGAUGAUUUAAGUACCAAGUUUUUCCUAACCAAUGAAACUCAAUGUUCUUGGAGAAGACUUCUUAAAUGGAAUUAAAUGAAAGACUAAGAUUACACACACCAAACUACAAAGAAAAAUAAAGGAAGAAAAGCAAGGAAUUAAAGAGUCUAUGUUAGGCGACCCUAACGGGAGGCUUAUUGUAAUAUCCCAAUUUUGGGAGUCACUUAAAAUGCCUUAAACUAAAGAAACUUUUCGAAACAUUAUCAAAAUCAUCAAAAACAUAAAAUUAAUAGAUUUAAUAAAACCAAAAGUUAAUUAAUAUUUACAAAACUAAAUAUUUAAAUUCAAUUAUAAACAAAUACAUAAACCUUUAAAGAUUCUUUUCAUGAUAGAGUACAAUUCUUAUGAAACCCGCAAUAUGAUUCCCCCUCUUUCUAUCAUCUACUCAACACCUGAAAUAUCUGCAUAUACUCAUGUAUAACACAAACAUUAUACGAUCAUCGUCACAUACAAAAAAAAAAUAUGAGUGAGCUACUACUGAAUACAUAAAUAUAAUAUGAUAAUCAAUUAAAUAAACCACAUACAACCACAAACAAGCAAUCCACCAUUCAUUCAACCAACCAAUCACUAACACUAAACCAAGCAACCGUAUCCAACAACA
rnacentral:lncRNA from 1 species